GGACUACCCGGGUAUCUAAUCCUGUUUGCUACCCACGCUUUCGCGUCUCAGCGUCAGUAUCCGUCCAGACGGCCGCCUUCGCCACUGGUGUUCCUCCCGAUAUCUACGAAUUUCACCUCUACACCGGGAAUUCCGCCAUCCUCUCCGGUACUCAAGCAAGGUAGUUUCGGGCGCACUUCCUCGGUUGAGCCGAGGGCUUUCACACCCGACAUGCCUUGCCGCCUACACGCGCUUUACGCCCAAUAAUUCCGAACAACGCUUGCACCCUCUGUAUUACCGCGGCUGCUGGCAC
rnacentral:rRNA from 1 species